UGCGGGGUGGUGUAAUGGUAACACGCCAGACUUUGGAUCUGUGCGACUCUAGGUUCGAAUCCUAGCCCCGCAGCAA
rnacentral:tRNA from 1 species